rnacentral:rRNA from 1 species
GACGAACGCUGGCGGCGUGCCUAACACAUGCAAGUCGAACGUGAAAGUCCUUCGGGAUGAGUAAAGUGGCGCACGGGUGAGUAAUACAUAGGAACGUACCUACGGGUGGGGAAUAACCACGGGAAACUGUGGCUAAUACCGCAUAACAUCGAGAGAUUAAAGGGGGCGUCCGCAAGGAGCUCUCGCCUGUAGAUCGGCCUAUGUCCCAUUAGCUAGUUGGAGAGGUAAAGGCUCACCAAGGCGACGAUGGGUAGCUGGUCUGAGAGGAUGAUCAGCCACACUGGAACUGAGACACGGUCCAGACUCCUACGGGAGGCAGCAGUGGGGAAUCUUGCACAAUGGGCGAAAGCCUGAUGCAGCAACGCCGCGUGGGUGAAGAAGGUCCUUGGAUUGUAAAGCCCUUUCGGCUAGAAAGAAGGGUUUCUAGGUUAAUACCCUAGGAAUUUGACGGUACUAGAAGAAGAAGCACCGGCUAACUCCGUGCCAGCAGCCGCGGUAA